CAAAGAUUAAGCCAUGCAUGUCUAAGCAGAAGCCGAACAACGGUAAAGCCGCGAAUGGCUCAUUACAACAGCCGUCGUUUCUUGGAUCUCUUAUUUUACUUGGAUAACUGUGGUAAUUCUAGAGCUAAUACACGCACUAAAGCUCCGACCUUACGGGACGAGCGCAUUUAUUAGAACAAAACCAAUCGGGUUUCGGCCCGUCCGUUGGUGACUCUGAAUAACUACGCCGAUCGCACGGUCUCGUACCGGCGACGUAUCUUUCAAGUGUCUGCCUUAUCAACUUUCGAUGGUAGUUUAUGUGCCUACCAUGGUUGUAACGGGUAACGGAGAAUAAGGGUUCGACUCCGGAGAGGGAGCCUGAGAAACGGCUACCACAUCCAAGGAAGGCAGCAGGCGCGCAAAUUACCCACUCUCGGCACGAGGAGGUAGUGACGAAAAAUAACGAGACGGAUCUCUUUGAGGCCCGUUAUCGGAAUGAGAACAAUUCAAAUCCUU
rnacentral:rRNA from 1 species